rnacentral:lncRNA from 1 species
GGUGGGGCUGAUGAGUGGGUUGACCAGAGGGGUGGCUUAGGGAGUCUGCCCACCCCCUUGGUGGUACUCUGUGCAGGGAGCAUGCCCAGUACCAUGCUUUUGCUGCCAGCCCCUCAGAAGGGGCAGGUGGUUUGUGACCUUUUUGUAUCUUAUUGUGCAUAAUUGCCCCCAACUGCUCACGCCUGCAGUUAUUUUUAGGCCCUCAUAGUUCCUUUGUAUUCUGUUGCUUGAGGAGAUGUUUGUCCAGAUGCAAGCCCUGCACUGAAGGGGCCCAGGUCCCAGCCUAGCUCCCUCCGGUCUGGGAGAAGCAGGAACUGAGUUAAGGGUCUUGGGGAAAGUGUUUUUGUUUGCAAGCCAAACAGGCCAAGGCCAAGGCGGGCGGCAAAGGAAAGGUUUAUUCACCCGUCAAGCAAGACAAGAGAAUCAAUCACAAACCCGGAAGCGGAGGGGCUCUGGAUACUUAUGGGAUACAGCUGCUCGUGGGGAGCUUACAGAAAGGUGAUUGGAGAUAAGAAAAAGGUGAGGUAAUUGCAGCUCUGCGCAGGCACAGCUCAUCCGCAGGCUUCUUCUAAGUAUAGCAGCUUCAGCACGUUCUGAGGGUGGAGUUUUCUGCCCUCUGACGUCAAAAGGUCACCCACCUGACGCUCGCGCAUGCCCACUUGGAGAGUCAGUGGUCCCAACCCCUCUUAACCAGCUCGUGCCUGAGCUAGACACAGCUGACGUCAAGCUCCUGAAAAACAGCUUGGGCCAACACUUUCUCAUUUACACGGUGCUGCUGGGAGGACGUGCAAGUCUUUUGUUAAAGCGAACUGGAUCUGCCAAGUCAGGCUACAGUCCGGUUUUUGCUUUGUUUUGGGCUACGUCUUUGGCGUGUGCAAGUUCCUGGCCAGGGAUCGAACCUGCAGCACAGCAAUGACAAGGCCAGAUCCUUAACCUCCUAGGGAACGCCACUUCGUUACUAAGCAGGUUGUAGCUGAAGGAUCUGAUGACUCCCCUCAGUUUCGAAAGGAGUGGACUCUCUUCUCCCUGAUGCCCUGGACCAGCCCUGAAACAGGCGGAGAUGGAGGCAAGUUUCAGGCUCAGGACCUGUGUCACCCCCAGGAUAGUCUCUGCUGAGAUGCGACUGCUCCCCCUUCCAAUUCUGGGUCAGGAUUCCCACCCUCAUGGGCUGCUGUGUUUGGGAGGGUGGAGCCUGGACUUGAGAAGAAGAGGUGUCUCUAACCAGCUUCCACAGACCGAUAGACUGGGCAUCUGCUGAUCACAAGGCCAAAGUACCGGCCAAAGGUCCUCUGAGGUUCGGCUCUUACAGGCACAUGAGAAUCAUUGCAAACCCUCCAUCCGCAAACCCUAAUGUGUGCAUUUCACUUGCUGCUGACCCAAAACGUUUCCACCUGGCUACUCCCCACCACACCAGGAGUGGAGGCAUCCUCUCAGUUCCUCUCCCUCCACCCUCCCCGUCCCCUCCCCUCCCCCCUUCCUGUGUGUGCUGAGGCAUCUUGGGUCCCCCUGGUUUGGGGGGGGGCACUUUGGCUAAUAAGCUCUUUCAGCACCAUUGAGCUCUACAUGUUGUCACUCAGUAUUUAUUUAUUUUUAAUAGCAGCAGUCACAUCUGGAAGUUCCCCAGGUACAUUUUAAAACAAGAGGGUACUGGAGUUCCCACAAUGGUGCAGUGGGUUAAGAAUGCCAGCUGUAGUGGCUUCGGCCGGUGUGGAGGUACAGGUUCCGGGCCCGGUGCAGUGGGUUAAAGGAUCUGGCAUUGCCACAGCUGUGGCUCAGAUUCAUUCCCUCGCCCAGGAACUUCCAGAAGCAAAAAAAAAAAAAAAAAACAGCUGGAGAAAGUGCCUUCUCCCGCCCCCAGAAUAGCGCAGAGCCCUACCUUCUGAUGACAGAGUGUGGAGCUGCGUUUUCCUAGCAUCUCUUCUACUUGGGCCAUUUGGUGAAAGCCCUCUGCCCUCUGGGCUGGAGGGGAAUUUUGUCUAAAUGGAUAGUCUCCAACCCAAAGGGCUCCUCCAGGCAAACAUGAAAUUUGAGAUUCCAUUUUAUAGGGAAGAGUACCAAAUUUCCUUCCAGAAAGUUACGUUCUCACCAGCUGAGUGUCAGGAACCCCAUUUCCUUGCACCUUUGCCAGCUCCAGAUUUAGAUACUUAAAAAGAAAUUCUCGGAGUUCCCGUCGUGGCUCAGUGGUUAAACAAUCCAACUAGGAAUCACGAGGUUUCAAGUUCGGUCCCUGGCCUUGCUAAGUGGGUUAAGGAUCCAGCAUUGCCAUGAGCUGUGGUGUAGGUCGCAGACGCAGCUCGGAUCCCAUGCUGCUGUGGCUGUGUCGUAGGCCAGUGGCUACAGCUCUGAUUCAAGCCCUAGCCUGG